rnacentral:rRNA from 1 species
CGGUAAUUCCAGCUCCAAUAGCGUAUACUAACGUUGUUGCAGUUAAAAAGCUCGUAGUUGGAUUUCUGAUCUUUGCCAAUGGUUGUGUCGCCGCGUGCGAGGCGCCUUGCGCAGAGGUCAACAUAUGUCACGAGCCAGUGUGAUCUAUUCAUUUAGGUCCACUGGGUAAUGACUCGUUUACUUUGAGAAAAUUAGAGUGUUCAAAGCAGGCAUUUGCCUUGAAUAUGUUAGCAUGGAAUAAUAGCAUAGGACUUCGGUUCUAUUUGUUGGUUGUUCGAGAACUGGAGUAAUGAUUGAUAGGGACGGUUGGGGGCAUCCGUAUUCUCAAGCGAGAGGUGAAAUUCUUGGACCUUGGGAAGACGAACAGCUGCGAAAGCGUUUGCCUAGGACGUUCUCUUUAAUCAAGAACGAAAGUUGGGGGAUCGAAGACGAUCAGAUACCGUCGUAGUCUCAACUAUAAACUAUGCCAGCUAGGGAUCGGUGGGUCUUUGUCACGAGUCCAUCGGCACCUUACGAGAAAUCAAAGCAUUUGGGUUCCGGGGGGAGUAUGGUCGCAAGGCUGAAACUUAAAGGAAUUGACGGAAGGGCACCACCAGGAGUGGAGCCUGUGGCUUAAUUUGACUCAACACGGGAAAACUUACCAGGUCCGGACAUAGUAAGGAUUGACAGAUUGAAAGCUCUUUCUUGAUUCUAUGGGUGGUGGUGCAUGGCCGUUCUUAGUUGGUGGAGUGAUUUGUCUGGUUAAUUCCGUUAACGAACGAGACCCGCGCCUGCUAAAUAGUCGGCCUCACUUCUGUGGGUGUUGUACUUCUUAGAGGGACCAUCCUGGGUAUACCGGAAGGGAGUUGCGGGCAAUAACAGGUCUGUGAUGCCCUUAGAUGUUCUGGGCUGCACACGGGCUACACUGCAAGAUACAACAAGCGUCGAUCACGCCUGACUGGAAGGUCCGGCCAAUCUUUGAAUAUCUUGCGUGAUUGGGAUAGACCAUUGCAAUUAUUGGUCUUCAACGAGGAAUUCCUAGUAAACGCGUGUCAACAACACGCAUUGAUUACGUCCCUGCCCUUUGUACACACCGCCCGUCGCUCCUACCGAUUGGAUGCUUCGAUGAGCCGUUUGGAGGACUAAGCUGAAAGCGUCAGCCGGAAGCUACGUCCGAAAUUCUGCAAAUCUGAAUAUCUAGAGGAAGGAGAAGUCGUAACAAGGUAGCCG